AGCCUUAAGAAUUUUAAUUUAAGGUUAAACCUGCCCAAUGUAGAAUUAUAUUAAUGGCCGCGGUACUUUGACCGUGCUAAGGUAGCGCAAUCAAUUGGCUUUUAAUUGAAGCCAUGUAUGAAUGGAAUCACGGGGUUUAGCUGUCUCCUAAAUAAUUUAUCAAAAUUACUAUUUAGGUGAAAAAGCCUAAAAGAAGAAAAAAGACGAGAAGACCCUAAGAGUUUUUCCUAAAUUAGAAUAAUUCCUAAAACAGUUUAGUUGGGGCAACAUAGGAACAAUAUAAGAACAAUAAUCUCCUGCAAAAAACUUACCGAUUUUAAUAAAUAUGAAUAAACUACCUUAGGGAUAACAGCAUAAUUUUAUAAAUAAGUUUGUGACCUCGAUGUUGGACUAGGAAACUAAAAGGCUAGCCGCCUUU
rnacentral:rRNA from 1 species